UAGCGUCGAUGACACCGGGGUUCUUGUGUCGACCUCCAUUGUUCUUUCUGAAGCGCUGGAGGACCGAGAGUUGGGCGCCGAAACACGUGUCUCAGGCCAUGGGGUUCGUUUGAUUUUAGGACCCUGCGGAACUGGUGUCUGCAGGCUCUCCGAAGAGAAUGGAGCAGCACUGGCUGCUUCCCCCAUGGAGGCAAGAGGGUUCACUACGGGACCACUGUGCGUGGGCUCGGAGGACUCCUCAGGUCUCUAUGACGCUGCCACCACCUUUGUCACUUCGGCAUAACUACGUCGUGAAAGCCGAAAUUCUGGAAAUGCCAGUAAUGGCCCUGCAUCAGCCAGGGUGAAACCCUACGAUCUACACGCAACACUGAAAAAUUGUACCAAGGAAGCGGGUCUACCGGGUCCAUGUAUGAACGUGGAAAAUUGGCCUCAACUAGGAAAUAUUACGAAGACACUCUGGGAGUACAAUCCUGCAGGACCAUGUGGUAUCUUUUUCUAUUGGUAUCAAGGACGUCGAGUGUGCGAGAUCGACAUCCUAGAAGAUGGACUUCCAGGACCAUGGUCACACGAUGUUUACCAUGUUUGCCAGACAAUGUUUAGGUAUAUCUGUGAAUAUAAUUCAACAAUACCUACUUAUCUUCUGCGGCAGUAGUAGAAAUUCCUGAAAUUCGAAAGAAACGUUGUAUGUUCGUCCAUGUAUAUAUGUUGGUAGCACGCAUAUCGGUUAGCACGUUAUACAUAAGAUUUCUGCUUCAUUGUUUCAAUAAAUAAUUUGCGCACACGACAAGUA